rnacentral:rRNA from 1 species
GGAGUUAGCCGGUGCUUCUUCUGUGAGUGAUGUCCUUCCUGCCGGCUAUUAACCCGCAGGCCUUCUUCCUCACUGAAAGUGCUUUACAACCCGAAGGCCUUCUUCACACACGCGGCAUGGCUGGAUCAGGGUUGCCCCCAUUGUCCAAUAUUCCCCACUGCUGCCUCCCGUAGGAGUCUGGGCCGUGUCUCAGUCCCAGUGUGGCUGAUCAUCCUCUCAGACCAGCUACGGAUCGUCGCCUUGGUGAGCCGUUACCUCACCAACCAGCUAAUCCGACAUAGGCUCAUCCGAUAGCGCGAGGCCCGAAGGUCCCCCGCUUUCCCCCGUAGGGCGUAUGCGGUAUUAGCCUGGGUUUCCCCAGGUUAUCCCCCACUACCGGGCAGAUUCCUAUGCAUUACUCACCCGUCCGCCGCUCGCCACCAGGGAGCAAGCUCCCCGUGCUGCCGCUCGACUUGCAUGUGUUAGCGUCGCCGCCACGCGUCAUCUGAGCAUAAUACAACUACUGA